rnacentral:rRNA from 1 species
CCCUUAGAUGUUCUGGGCCGCACGCGCGCUACACUGACGAAUGCAACGAGCUUAUAAUAACCUUGGCCGAAAGGUCUGGGUAAUCUCCAAAUUUCGUCGUGAUGGGGAUAGAUUAUUGCAAUUAUUAAUCUUCAACGAGGAAUGCCUAGUAAGCGCAAGUCAUCAGCUUGCGUUGAUUACGUCCCUGCCCUUUGUACACACCGCCCGUCGCUCCUACCGAUUGAGUGGUCCGGUGAAGCGUUCGGACCGUGGCCUUUGGACGGUUCGCCGUCUGUUGGCUGCGGGAAGUUCGUUAAACCUUAUCAUUUAGAGGAAGGAGAAGUCGUAACA